rnacentral:rRNA from 1 species
CUACGGGUUGCUGCAGUGAGGAAUAUUGCACAAUGGGGGAAACCCUGAUGCAGCAACGCCGCGUGGAGGAUGACGCAUUUCGGUGUGUAAACUCCUUUUAUCAGAGAAGAAAAUGACGGUAUCUGAUGAAUAAGCUCCGGCUAACUCCGUGCCAGCAGCCGCGGUAAUACGGAGGGAGCAAGCGUUAUUCGGAAUCACUGGGCGUAAAGGGCGCGUAGGCGGGUUUUUAAGUCAGGUGUGAAAUCCUAUGGCUCAACCAUAGAACUGCACUUGAAACUGGGGACCUAGAGUAUGGAAGGGGCAGGUGGAAUUAGUGGUGUAGGGGUAACAUCCGUAGAUAUCACUAGGAAUACCGAAAGCGAAGGCGACCUGCUGGGACAUUACUGACGCUGAGGCGUGAAAGCGUGGGGAGCAAACAGGAUUAGAUACCCUCGUAGUC